rnacentral:rRNA from 1 species
UACGUAGGGUCCGAGCGUUGUCCGGAAUUAUUGGGCGUAAAGGGCUCGUAGGCGGUUCGUCACGUCGGGAGUGAAAACUCGGAGCUCAACUCCGAGCCUGCUUCCGAUACGGGCAGACUAGAGGUAGGCAGGGGAGAGCGGAACUCCUGGUGUAGCGGUGGAAUGCGCAGAUAUCAGGAAGAACACCGGUGGCGAAGGCGGCUCUCUGGGCCUUACCUGACGCUGAGGAGCGAAAGCGUGGGUAGCAAACAGG